CCUACGGGAGGCAGCAGUGAGGAAUAUUGGUCAAUGGGCGCGAGCCUGAACCAGCCAAGUAGCGUGAAGGAUGACUGCCCUACGGGUUGUAAACUUCUUUUAUAAAGGAAUAAAGUGAGGCACGUGUGCCGUUUUGUAUGUACUGUAGGAAGAAGGAUCGGCUAACGCCGUGCCAGCAGCCGGGGUAAUACGGAGGAUCCGAGCGUUAUCCGGAUUUAGUGGGUUUCAAGGGAGCGUAGAGGGGUUGGUAAGUCAGUUGUGAAAGUUUGCGGCUCGCCCGGAAAAUUGCAAUUGAUACUGGCAGUCUUGCGUACAGUUUAGGUAGGCUGAAUUCG
rnacentral:rRNA from 1 species